GCCAGACUCCUACGGGAGGCAGCAGUGAGGAAUAUUGGUCAAUGGGCGAGAGCCUGAACCAGCCAAGUCGCGUGAGGGAGUACUGCCCUAUGGGUUGUAAACCUCUUUUGUCGGGGAGCAAAAGCCGGACGUGUCCGGCUGUGAGAGUACCCGAAGAAAAAGCAUCGGCUAACUCCGUGCCAGCAGCCGCGGUAAUACGGAGGAUGCGAGCGUUAUCCGGAUUUAUUGGGUUUAAAGGGUGCGCAGGCGGAUUUUUAAGUCAGCGGUCAAAUCGUGGGGCUCAACCCCAUCCAGCCGUUGAAGCUGGGGAUCUAGAGUGUGCGAGAGGUAUGCGGAAUGCGUGGUGUAGCGGUGAAAUGCAUAGAUAUCACGCAGAACCCUGAUUGCGAAGGCAGCAUACCGGUGCACAACUGACGCUCAGGCACGAAAGCGUGGGUAUCGAACAGGAUUAGAUACCCGUGUA
rnacentral:rRNA from 1 species